rnacentral:rRNA from 1 species
GACGAACGCUGGCGGCGUGCUUAACACAUGCAAGUCGAACGGAAAGGCCCUGCUUUUGUGGGGUGCUCGAGUGGCGAACGGGUGAGUAACACGUGAGUAACCUGCCCUUGACUUUGGGAUAACUUCAGGAAACUGGGGCUAAUACCGGAUAGGAGCUCCUGCUGCAUGGUGGGGGUUGGAAAGUUUCGGCGGUUGGGGAUGGACUCGCGGCUUAUCAGCUUGUUGGUGGGGUAGUGGCUUACCAAGGCUUUGACGGGUAGCCGGCAUGGGGGGGUGACCGGCCACAUUGGGACUGAGAUACGGCCCAGACUCCUACGGGAGGCAGCAGUGGGGAAUAUUGCACAAUGGGCGGAAGCCUGAUGCAGCAACGCCGCGUGCGGGAUGACGGCCUUCGGGUUGUAAACCGCUUUCGCCUGUGACGAAGCGUGAGUGACGGUAAUGGGUAAAGAAGCACCGGCUAACUACGUG